rnacentral:lncRNA from 11 species
UGUGCGCACAUAUAUUGUCAGAUGAGAUGGUCCCAUUUAUGAUCCAAAAGAAAAUCCCCUUGUGAAUCGGUCCUAUCAAGAAGCUAUCCAGCCAAACAAGGCAUUACAAUCUCUAUUAGAACUAACAGAUCAUCCCAAAUCAAAGACCUCCAGCGCCUUUGUGAUCAAAAUAAGGUAGGCAGGAGUGAGAACCAUUUGAAGCGGCUUUUUUGAUCCCCCUGAUUUGUCAGUGCAGCCAGACAUAUAUUCCCUUCUCUCCCCGAGGAGACAGCGGGAUCAAAGCCCACUCAAUGUUUCCUGAUUUCGUGAGGCACCAGCAGGAAGCGUCAGAAAACCCUGUCUCCCUGACAAGCACAGGCCCAGAUAUAGAACAGGACGACAAGCCAAGUGGGAAAAAACUCUUUUAUAUAUCGUUGAAGAGCAGGCCAAUGCAUUGAGAUAAGUGCCACAUUUGGGCCAUGCCGUUUGUUUGAUUUUGGCGCAGUGCAAGAUGCAGAAACAAAAAAGGAUGUAAGGCUGACGGAUUUAAGAUGCAAAGCCUUAGCUCCGAGACUGAUCGAUGAGUCAGGAAGGCCUCCGUUCAGAGCUCUUGUUCUCUGUGAGUAGAGUGCUCCAUGAGGAGUUUUGCAGGAGAAUUUUGAAGCAAACAUUGGACCCUGUGCUAGUUUAUGGAAGAGUUGAGUGUUCAUUGGCCUUUCUACCUCAGACAUACAUCUUAUUUGGGAUGGCCAGCAUGCCCAGCUUCCACUGCUCUGCGCCUUGCUUGCAAUUGUGCUAAAAGGUCAAAUUCCCUCCCUCUCACACAUUCCUCCUCCUCAUCCUUGAUGGAAUGAUCCACCUGGUAGCAGAAUAACUCUGUUGUUAUGGAAACAAGACACAUUGGAGACUUUUUAAAAUAUCAAGAGUGCUAAAAGAUUGUGAGGGUGGGAAGCCAC